UGUUGAUGUAAUGAUAUCCACCUUGCAAAAGCGUUUCAAUAUGCGGUUCUAUCCUUGGUGGGACCUUCGAGUCUCUUUAGGAUAUUAUCGCAUAUUGGGCGUGAAACUGAACAUAUACAUGGAGGUACAUAUAUACCUGGUGUAUCAUAUGUGCUAUCACCAUCGGUCUCAAGUAUCAUCUGUUCCAGGGGAGUAAUAUGGACUUCUACAAGUCACACGCUUGAUACAUUAGAAUCGGUUGUGCCCAAGUCUGUUAGGUAAGAUUUAUCACAUAAAAAGGAUAAAAUUAAGCUCUGUGUAUUUGCACAGCCUUAUACCUCGACCAAACAUGUAAAUUUUGUCAACAUCGUCGGCUACGGGUAUAAUCCGUUUGUUAGAGUCGUCAACAUUUGUCCCCUCCAUCGGGCCUGCAACACAUUCAGUCUCUUGGGAUAGUGUUUGACUUGUGAAGCAUAAUUUAUAGGUACAUGUGAUGAGGUCGUCUGAUCCGUUGGCUUGCUGUGUGGAGUCCCCAUAUGGAACUAUUAAAAAAAAGACAUGUCCAACAGACUCAGCCAGAUGAAGGCCGUCGAAGGUCACAAGGGCAGCUUGCUAUUCUACAUGACUUCAACACAUAAGGGAAGCUUGUUACAUUUACAGAAAGUCAUGAUGUUGGCAAUGGUAAGGGGGCGAAAUCAUGAAGGCAUGGUUUGUGUUGCAAGUCUGACAUACAUCUGCAUAAAACUCAGAGAAGUCAUGGUAAAAACUUGCUGUUAAGCGACGAUAUGGGCGUCAUAAAGAACUUCAGUCAUUUGAUUGAAGCGCAGAUCUGUACACGAAGACUGAGGGAGUCCUGGACUAGGGGGUGUCCGGAUAGCCGAACUAUCAUCAUUGACCGGACUCCAAGAUUAUGAAGAUACAUGAUUGAAGACUUCGUCCCGUGUCCGAAUGGGACUUUCCUUGGCGUGGAAGGCAAACUUGGCAAUACGGAUAUGUAGAUCUCCUACCAUUGUAAGCGACUCUG